GACGAACGCUGGCGGCGUGCUUAACACAUGCAAGUCGAACGGAAAGGCCCUGCUUUUGUGGGGUGCUCGAGUGGCGAACGGGUGAGUAACACGUGAGUAACCUGCCCUUGACUUUGGGAUAACUUCAGGAAACUGGGGCUAAUACCGGAUAGGAGCUCCUGCUGCAUGGUGGGGGUUGGAAAGUUUCGGCGGUUGGGGAUGGACUCGCGGCUUAUCAGCUUGUUGGUGGGGUAGUGGCUUACCAAGGCUUUGACGGGUAGCCGGCCUGAGAGGGUGACCGGCCACAAUGGGACUGAGAUACGGCCCAGACUCCUACGGGAGGCAGCAGUGGGGAGUAUUGCACAAUGGGCGGAAGCCUGAUGCAGCGACGCCGCGUGCGGGAUGACGGCCUUCGGGUUGUAAACCGCUUUCGCCUGUGACGAAGCGUGAGUGACGGUAAUGGGUAAAGAAGCACCGGCUAACUACGUG
rnacentral:rRNA from 1 species